GAUGAACGCUGGCGGCGUGCUUAACACAUGCAAGUCGAACGAAGCAUUUAAGACAGAUUCCUUCGGUUUGAAGUCUUUUAUGACUGAGUGGCGGACGGGUGAGUAACGCGUGGGUAACCUGCCUCAUACAGGGGGAUAGCAGCUGGAAACGGCUGGUAAUACCGCAUAAGCGCACAGUACCACAUGGUACAGUGUGAAAAACUCCGGUGGUAUGAGAUGGACCCGCGUCUGAUUAGCUAGUUGGCGGGGUAACGGCCCACCAAGGCGACGAUCAGUAGCCGACCUGAGAGGGUGACCGGCCACAUUGGGACUGAGACACGGCCCAGACUCCUACGGGAGGCAGCAGUGGGGAAUAUUGCACAAUGGAGGAAACUCUGAUGCAGCGACGCCACGUGAGUGAAGAAGUAGUUCGCUAUGUAAAGCUCUAUCAGCAGGGAAGAUAGUGACGGUACCUGACGAAGAAGCUCCGGCUAAAUACGUG
rnacentral:rRNA from 1 species